rnacentral:rRNA from 1 species
CGCCAUGUUAGAGCGUACCGUUUCGUUCCAGCUGAAAGAGCUUUACAACCCGAAGGCCUUCUUCACUCACGCGGAAUGGCUGGAUCAGGGUUUCCCCCAUUGUCCAAAAUUCCCCACUGCUGCCUCCCGUAGG